AGUGAACGCUGGCGGUAGGCCUAACACAUGCAAGUCGAACGGCAGCACAGUAAGAGCUUGCUCUUACGGGUGGCGAGUGGCGGACGGGUGAGGAAUACAUCGGAAUCUACUUUUUCGUGGGGGAUAACGUAGGGAAACUUACGCUAAUACCGCAUACGACCUACGGGUGAAAGCAGGGGAUCUUCGGACCUUGCGCGAUUGAAUGAGCCGAUGUCGGAUUAGCUAGUUGGCGGGGUAAAGGCCCACCAAGGCGACGAUCCGUAGCUGGUCUGAGAGGAUGAUCAGCCACACUGGAACUGAGACACGGUCCAGACUCCUACGGGAGGCAGCAGUGGGGAAUAUUGGACAAGGGGCGCAAGCCUGAUCCAGCCAUACCGCGUGGGUGAAGAAGGCCUUCGGGUUGUAAAGCCCUUUUGUUGGGAAAGAAAGGCAGCAGGUUAAUACCCCGCUGUUCUGACGGUACCCAAAGAAUAGGCACCGGCUAACUUCG
rnacentral:rRNA from 1 species